UACGAAGGGGGCGAGCGUUGUUCGGAUUUACUGGGCGUAAAGGGCGCGCAGGCGGCUCAUCAAGUCAGGCGUGAAAGCCCCGGGCUUAACCUGGGAGGUGCGUCUGGGACUGGUGGGCUAGAGAUCGGGAGAGGAGAGUGGAAUUCCCAGUGUAGAGGUGAAAUGCGCAGAUAUCGGGAAGAACACCCGUGGCGAAGGCGGUUCUCUGGGACGGUACUGACGCUGAGACGCGAAAGCGUGGGGAGCGAACAGG
rnacentral:rRNA from 1 species